rnacentral:siRNA from 1 species
AACGAGAGGACCGUAGUCGCUUGU